GCUUUCGCUGUUUUCUCUAGCACCCUGUCAAGAUGCCGUACCACAAUUUCUGUGCGCGUAUUAUAAAGGCCAGUCGCUCUGCUCUAAAACUAACGCUUACGUGUUUGCCAACUGCAAGAAAACGUGCAAUUUUUGUAGUGCUGGGUGAGGGACCAAGCUUACAGGACCGGACACCGUCUUUACAAGAAACACGAAGGAACAAAAACUUACAGCAAGUCCACUUUAUAAGUAGUUUUAAUUUACACGUUUAAAGCAAAGAAAACCAAAAUAAUAUGAACAUGCAUAAAGUAAUAAAAUAGGUGAACUAAAGAAAUAAAACGAACUGAGUGAAGUAAAGGUUAAGUAAAAUGAAUGAGAAGUAGAUAAUAUAAGUAAUCACUGUUAUAUUCCAAAAUGUUAUAGAUGUAGUAUUUCGUUAAAACAAUAAAGAAGUGCAUACAGA